UUACUUAGUGGCGGACUGGUGAGUAACGCGUGAGGAACCUGCCUUUCAGAGGGGGACAACAGUUGGAAACGACUGCUAAUACCGCAUGACGCAUGACCGGGGCAUCCCGGACAUGCCAAAGAUUUAUCGCUGAAAGAUGGCCUCGCGUCUGAUUAGCUGGUUGGCGGGGUAACGGCCCACCAAGGCGACGAUCAGUAGCCGGACUGAGAGGUUGACCGGCCACAUUGGGACUGAGAUACGGCCCAGACUCC
rnacentral:rRNA from 1 species